CGUAUGUAUGGAACCAUCUGGGCCUGGCUGGCCGGUCCGCCUCACCGCGAGUACUGGUCCGGCUGGGCCUUUCCUUCUGGGGAACCUCAUGGCCUUCACUGGCUGUGGGGGGAACCAGGACUUUUACUGUGAAAAAAUUAGAGUGUUCAAAGCAGGCCUUUGCUCGAAUACAUUAGCAUGGAAUAAUAGAAUAGGACGUGCGGUUCUAUUUUGUUGGUUUCUAGGACCGCCGUAAUGAUUAAUAGGGAUAGUCGGGGGCGUCAGUAUUCAGCUGUCAGAGGUGAAAUUCUUGGAUUUGCUGAAGACUAACUACUGCGAAAGCAUUCGCCAAGGAUGUUUUCAUUAAUCAGGGAACGAAAGUUAGGGGAUCGAAGACGAUCAGAUACCGUCGUAGUCUUAACCAUAAACUAUGCCGACUAGGGAUCGGACGGGAUUCUAUGAUGACCCGUUCGGCACCUUACGAGAAAUCAAAGUUUUUGGGUUCUGGGGGGAGUAUGGUCGCAAGGGCUG
rnacentral:rRNA from 1 species